GACGAACGCUGGCGGCGUGCUUAACACAUGCAAGUCGAACGGAGUGGCGAACGGGUGAGUAAUGCGUAAUCAACCUCCCCUUAAGAGGGGGACAAUAGUCGGAAACGACUGCUAUAACCGCAUACUGAAGGAGGAGAUUGCGUGUGAUUAGCUAGUUGGGGGGGUAACGGCCCACCAAGGCGAUGAUCAGUAGCUGGUGUGAGAGGAUGACCAGCCACACUGGGACUGAGACACGGCCCAGACUCCUACGGGAGGCAGCAGUGGGGAAUAUUGGACAAUGGGGGCAAGCCUGAUGCAGCCAUGCCGCGUGUAUGAAGAAGGCCUUCGGGUUGUAAAGUACUUUCAGCGGGGAGCGGUACCUGCAGAAGAAGCACCGGCUAACUCCGUGCCAGCAGCCGCGGUAAUUC
rnacentral:rRNA from 1 species